GAUGAACGCUAGCGGGAGGCCUAACACAUGCAAGCCGAGCGGUAUUGUUUCUUCGGAAAUGAGAGAGCGGCGUACGGGUGCGUAACACGUGUGCAACCUGCCUUUAUCUGGGGGAUAGCCUUUCGAAAGGAAGAUUAAUGCUCCAUAAUAUAUUGAACGGCAUCGUUUAAUAUUGAAAGCUCCGGCGGAUAGAGAUGGGCACGCGCAAGAUUAGCUAGUUGGUGAGGUAACGGCUCACCAAGGCGAUGAUCUUUAGGGGGCCUGAGAGGGUGAUCCCCACACUGGUACUGAGACACGGACCAGACUCCUACGGGAGGCAGCAGUGAGGAAUAUUGGUCAAUGGGUGCAAGCCUGAACCAGCCAUCCCGCGUGAAGGACGACUGCCCUAUGGGUUGUAAACUUCUUUUGUAUAGGGAUAGACCUACCCUCGAGAGGGUAGCUGAAGGUACUAUACGAAUAAGCACCGGCUAACUCCGUGCCAGCCGCCGCCGUAAUAC
rnacentral:rRNA from 1 species